CCUACGGGGGACAGCAGUGAGGAAUAUUGGUCAAUGGACGAGAGUCUGAACCAGCCAAGUAGCGUGAAGGAUGACUGCCCUAUGGGUUGUAAACUUCUUUUAUAUGGGAAUAAAACGUUCCACGUGUGGGCUUUUGUAUGUACCAUAUGAAUAAGGAUCGGCUAACUCCGUGCCAGCAGCCGCGGUAAUACGGAGGAUCCGAGCGUUAUCCGGAUUUAUUGGGUUUAAAGGGAGCGUAGGUGGAUUGUUAAGUCAGUUGUGAAAGUUUGCGGCUCAACCGUAAAAUUGCAGUUGAAACUGGCAGUCUUGAGUACAGUAGAGGUGGGCGGAAUUCGUGGUGUAGCGGUGAAAUGCUUAGAUAUCACGAAGAACUCCGAUUGCGAAGGCAGCUCACUGGACUGCAACUGACACUGAGGCUCGAAAGUGUGGGUAUCAAACAGGAUUAGAUACCCUAGUAGUC
rnacentral:rRNA from 1 species